rnacentral:rRNA from 1 species
CACGUAGGGGGCGAGCGUUGUCCGGAUUUAUUGGGCGUAAAGAGCUCGUAGGCGGCUCAGUUAGUCGGGUGUGAAACCCCCGGGCUCAACCCGGGGACGCCACCCGAUACUGCUGUGGCUAGAGUUCGGUAGGGGAGAUCGGAAUUCCUGGUGUAGCGGUGGAAAUGACGCAGAGUAUCAGGAGGAACCACCGGUGGCGAAGGCGGAUCUCCUGGGCCGAUACUGACGCUGAGGAGCGAAAGGCGUGGGGAGCGAACAGG